AAAGUACUCCCUCCGUCCGGAAAUACUUGUCAUCAAAAUGAAUAAAAGAGGAUGUAUCUAGAUGUAUUUUAGUUCUAGAUACACCUCUUUUUAUCCAUUUUAAUGACAAGUAUUUUCGGACAGAGAGAGUAGAAA
rfam:Triticum aestivum genome assembly, contig: Triticum_aestivum_CS42_TGACv1_scaffold_485310_6AS